UACAGAGGGUGCAAGCGUUAAUCGGAAUUACUGGGCGUAAAGCGAGCGUAGUCGGUUAUUUAAGUCGGGUGUGAAAGCCCCGGGCUCAACCUGGGAAUUGCAUUCGAUACUGGAUAGCUAGAGUUCGGCAGAGGGAAGCGGAACUUCCGGUGUAGCGGUGAAAUGCGUAGAUAUCUGGAGGAACACCGGUGGCGAAGGCGGCAUCCUGGACCAACACUGACACUGAUGAGCGAAAGCCAGGGGAGCAAACGGG
rnacentral:rRNA from 1 species